CGAUUUCCUCCUUCCUGACUGUCGGAGGCUGCGAUUGUAUGAAGACGGAGAGAAGUCGUGAUGGAAGUUUAUGACUUAAAUGAAGAAAUAAUCUACGUUCUGCACGUCAACAUCUUCAGGACACACUAGAGGCUCCCUCUCACCUGCUUCCACUCAUCUCCUCACCUGAGCAGGAUGAAGAACCAGCUGAACCUGAACCUGUUUUUGAUGAUCACCCUGGUGUGGAGCCAAAAUGUCUGACAGACAGUUUAUGAAAGGACAGGUAGGUGACAACGCUCUGUACUUCUUCCUGCGCCAUACUGACAGUUUUGGGAACGUGUCACCUCCAGUUAGAUCGUCUGUUUCAGCAUCAGAGGACCGACGGUGCAGUGAAGGGACGCUUUGAACGUCUCUGGUCAUGAGAGACGCUUCAGGAGACAAACAGUGAAAGUUCUUGGUGACCUGCGUGGCUGAGAAAUGAAGCCAAUGCAAAAAAAACUAACA